GACGAACGCUGGCGGCGUGCCUAAUACAUGCAAGUUGAGCGCUGAAGGCUGGUACUUGUACCAACUGGAUGAGCAGCGAACGGGUGAGUAACGCGUGGGGAAUCUGCCUUUGAGCGGGGGACAACAUUUGGAAACGAAUGCUAAUACCGCAUAAAAACUUUAAACACAAGUUUUAAGUUUGAAAGAUGCAAUUGCAUCACUCAAAGAUGAUCCCGCGUUGUAUUAGCUAGUUGGUGAGGUAAAGGCUCACCAAGGCGAUGAUACAUAGCCGACCUGAGAGGGGGGUCGGCCACAUUGGGACUGAGACACGGCCCAAACUCCUACGGGAGGCAGCAGUAGGGAAUCUUCGGCAAUGGACGAAAGUCUGACCGAGCAACGCCGCGUGAGUGAAGAAGGUUUUCGGAUCGUAAAACUCUGUUGGUAGAGAAGAACGUUGGUGAGAGUGGAAAGCUCAUCAAGUGACGGUAACUACCCAGAAAGGGACGGCUAACUACGUG
rnacentral:rRNA from 1 species